ensembl:lncRNA
AAACAUCUCGGAUUCCCAGGCACUGACUACAGCUGCCAGGAGCGAGCCCCCCGCCCCCCAAGUAUUGUCCCUCUCUCCCUCCCUCCUAUAGGCUGGCGGAGGUGCCCAAACCCGCAUCUCCUGACUCCGCUGUCUCCUCCUCAGCAGCGAUUCCGUGCGGCGGGAAGAAGCCCGGUGACAACAAUCCCAAGCAGCGGCGGCGGCAGCGUGGAUGAAGCGGCGGGGCCGCCUGGCUGGGAUUACAGGAGGAAAGGGGGAGCGUGUCCCUUCCCGCCUCUCCCGUCCGGCGAGCUGCGGGGCGCGUGCCGUGGGGGGGCGAGCGCCAGCGGCUGCCGGCUUCAGGGGAAUGCGGCACUAGCAUCUCCCCCAGACCUCGGAGGCACCACCGCGGCAGCGCGUCCCUCCUCCGCCGCCCGGCCUCCGGAGGGGGCUUCUCUCCUCAGCCUUCCCUUUCGCGGUGCCUCAACUCCGCUAUGGUGGCUGCCGCCUUCCGCACGCCGGAGCGGGGCUGCGCGGGCCGGCUGCGGUGCUGAGUGCAAGGGGAGGCAGGUCCCCUCUGGCCGCUGCGGGCUGGGGGCUCUCUCCGCGCCUUGCCGCGGCCGGCUGCGGCGGGCGGACCGGGGGAGGAGGAAGCGCCAUUGCCAGGAGGAUUAUUGCCGGGGGUGCCGGUGCCGAGCGGGCAGCAGAGCCCGGCGUUGCCCGCGCCCAUCCCCGCCGCCCUUUGCCUGGCCGGGGGAAGCGGCCACCCAGCGAUGCGCCCAGCGUGAGGGAGCCCGCGCCCUCGCCGCCGCCCGCAGCAUGCCGCCCUCCCCGAAGAGACCCCGCGCGGCCGCGGCCGCCGCCUGCCCUGCCAUGCUGCUGCUGCUCCUGUGCUUGGGCUGGGCGCGGGGGCACUCCCGGGGGGCGGCCGGGCUGCUCCCCAACGCCACCACGCCGAUCUCCAUCAUGGGCUUGAUGCCGCUCAGCCAGUCGGAGGAGGACCAGAAGAGCAAGAUCGGCCGGGGCGUGCUGCCCGCCGUGCAGCUGGCCAUGGAUCAGAUCCGCAACGAGUCCCUGCUCAACCCCUACUCGCUGGACCUCCGGCUCUAUGACACCGAGAUAUACCAUACAGUACCUACUGAAAGAUCCCAGAACUUACACGGAAAGAGGAGUGUAACCAAACAUACAAUACUCGGGGAGGGCAGCAGAAUAUUACCCAGCAUAUUUAGAAAGGAUUAGAUGGACAAUCCUGAGGCUAGAAAUGCUGGACAUGAGGUAAUAUUUUCUGGUGUAUUUCCAGCUAGGUAUCAGCAAUUUUGAAGGUUGAAAUUAAACCAUUGUGUUGGCAGAUGUGAGCAAGACCAUUCAAACUGCUUAGGUUUUACAGCACAGAUGAGGAGAUCUGCUAGGGAUCUCCACAUACCCUGUCUACUCUGUUUCUGUCAGUUCCCAGUCAGACAGUGUACAUAGGAGAUUUAGGGCAGGUCAUGGAUCUAUGACUAUGCAUAGGCUUUUAUGGCCAGAAGAAAUCAUUGUGAUCAUCUAUAAUCUGAUCUCCUCCAUAACAAAGGCCAUAGAAUUUCAGCCAGUAAUUCUUGCAUCAAGCCAAUAAAUUCUUGUUGAACUAGAGCA